rfam:Phoenicopterus ruber ruber contig114646, whole genome shotgun sequence.
GCUGCUGCAGGGUAGGAGGAGAGAGGUGUUACCUUAUCAGCUGCCUCCUCUCCCAUCCUCUCGUUCUGCAGAAGC